rnacentral:ncRNA from 1 species
ACGGAAGCCCGGUGAGGCCAAGGUCGAUCCGGAAGAGAAGGUUCGAUCUCCCAAUCCGGGCCCCCAGCACGGUUCCCGGCACCCACGCGGAGUCAUAGCCGCGAUAAUGGCAGAAGUGUUGCGGGCCUGCGUAAUUGCGAGAAGUGGACGGCCUCGACGGCCCUUUGGGUAGGGCCGCAACCGGGCGCCUCGCAAGAUCGCCGAGGCCACCCACGCAACCCCGAGAAUGCACGCUUGGUAACCGAGUACCGUGCUAGCGGGCGGUGAGCCGAACUCUUCGGAUCGCCGCCCGCUUCACAUG